UUUAGGAUUACUUAGUUUCAUGAAACAUAUCACUUUCGACAAAUAUUAGAGAAAAUUGUCAAAUUUUAAUGGAUGUUUCUCUAGCGCAACUAAGAAGGGAAAAUAUGGGUGUUAGGGGAUAACUAGGGAUAUAUAUAUAUAGAGGUAUAUGGAACAAAUUUAUUUAUAUAUGUUUACUUUACAACCAUGGAGAAGCACAAAAUAUUAAUAUAUGUUUAAAGUAUGGUUGAAGUUAUGAUAAACAGAGCAUUGGUCCUAGGUGGAGGCCAACCUGGCAAAAGUUGCAGAACAGUAUACGAAAGGGCAAGUUGUGACGUCAUUAAAAUAAAUUAAUUAUAAAACAAGAUGGGGGAGGUUUGUCCCCAAAUAUGUCAAAAUUAAAAAGUUAAGGAAAAGUUGCCUAAUUUUACUUUAAACUUUAACCACUACAUAGCAUUGUCCAUAUCAUAAUAGGUCAACAAAAAAUUUAUACAUCCCAGUUAAAUUUACAAUACAUAACUACAUAUUCU